GCCCCCCGCGCCCCCCUGCGCGCCCCCCGGGCUGCAGCCCGCGCCGCCGCCGGACACCCACCAGCUCCUCCGCGGUCCCCGGCGGCUCCGAAAAGUCGCGGCCCUAGCGACGCUCUGCACAUUUGCCGGGAUCCCCCUAGGAAGUACCGAGGCCCCAACUUGUUUUAAAACAAAGUGCGAAGGAGGAACCAGCCGCGCUCCCGCCUGUUACCCGCCAGCCCCGCUGCCCGAAGGCUCGUGCACUGUGCAGCGAGACUGCUUCACGCGCUCCGUUCCUCGACUUACCUACCGAGGCGCACGCAGCGAGCGGAAGGCGACGAGUCGGGUCUCCCUCCCGAGGAUGGAAGAGGAGGUCAGAGGGAGAUGCCCGCAGCCCGAGGCUGAGGAACGAACCCGGGGCGUCAGCUAGGGCGCCGUGGGGUCCGGAAGGCCUGGCCGGCCCCUCCGCAGUGAGCAGGAACUCAGUGAACCGCCCGGAGCAGAAAUGGGACGCUCGGGGACCCACCCCCGCGCUCCCCCUCCCGCCCCCAAACUGCAGAUUUUUAAGUUGUGCAGACUUGCAAUAAUUCCUCAGAGCCAGCUGCUCCAAGCUGUAGGCGCCCGGUGUUCCCGCCCCACAGCACGCAAUGGGACAACCGCCCCCCACCCAGCGCCUGCUGCCCGCUGGCCUCAGACGAGCACCCAGCAGGACCACACAGAGGCCUGUCCCCUCUCUUAUGGAAGAGGAUCCAAAGCAUUUGUCUACACUGCUGUUUGCAAGCCUCUGAAGAAGGUAAUUUGCAUAUACAAUAAUCAUCUUUAGUGUAAGAUCUAAGAUUAUUCUAAAAAUAUGCUUAUAUUUUAUCAGCACCUGAGAAGAAUGCUUCCAAAUCUCUCCCAGCAGUUAGCUCUUUAAUCAUUUCAAAUCAUUAAGUAACCCGAAAAGUCCAGCAUUGUUUACUUGAGAAUGAGAUAUGUUCAGAAUCUCCAUGCACUGCAGAGCGCAUCUGCAGUGCAGAAGAGCCAGGAAGCCAGGGCCUUCUCGCUGGUCUGAAUAGCACCUGGGAACUAGAGGGAGGCACCCAUGGUGGAGUACCGAGAGGACCCCCACUUGGCAUCUGUGAAAACGGGGCACAGAAAGGACAGGACUUUACUGGGCACAUAUGGGGGUGUGGUAGAAAAGGGGCUCAGAUUUAAGAGACAGAGACUGGGGUUCUCAUCACGCUGUACCCAGGGGGAGCCCUGUGAGCAAGUCACUUAGUGGUUCAACAUGAUGUUUCUUCUUCUUCUUCACCUUCUGGGGUCAUCAGGGGGAUCAUAUGAGGCAAAUGGAAUAAUCAACAGGGAAGCAUGUAUGGGCCAUAAAAUGCAUGUCUGUUCCCCAGAAAUUCACCCCUGACCAUUUACCAAGGUUGAGUCAGGCAAGGUGGUAAAUGCAUUUAUACACACACACACACACACACACACACACACGGAGUCAUGCUCUCACCCCGUGUGUCUAGGGCAUCUUCCCCUAAUCUCUAUCAUCAUUGCCACAAUGCCUGCUCUGAUCCAUUUAACUGCCUCCUUCCUCCCACACGCCACCUCCUUUUUUCCUCCCUCCAUUAAAAUGUCUUUAUGCCACGUAAUAUGGCCCAUCCCCUUUUCAUUAACCAUGUGCAUAGAAAAACAUCUGGACAAGCCAGACAUUAACCUAUAAGGGGUUAAUCAUUGGCUGACAAUAAUACUCCCUCCUCCAUGGUUUCCAGAACUCCCUGGGUCAGUGGAGACAUCUCAAGCAAAUGCGGGCCUCGGUGCAUAUGUCUUCCAGGCUUCUAUAAUUCUGGCUUUGGACACUCUUGGUAGGUUCCCCCUCUCUUACCCACUUACCCACAGGUCCAUGUCGUCCCCCCCCCCCCACCCUAAACCUGUCUCUGACCCUUCAUUCUCUCUAAACUCCAAAUGACAGAAAUCCAGUGAGGUAUCAAUUUGCUUUUUAAAUGGAAAAAGGUGAAAAUGAAGGUGUUCUUAUCUCUGACAAGGAGAUGGUGAGUGAGGGAGUAUUAGUAACAGGGGUGAACAUUUGUUCCACUGGUUCCUUUUGUUGGCAUCUCUUUAAACAGCAGCCUGAAUGUCACAGGAGUACUUGAAGCAUUUGCAAUUCCCCACAGUGCCAGCCUUUUUCCUGUCUCCCUGCACUCACCGUGAUCUCCCUCUGCUUGGAAUAUCCUUCCCAACUGGAAGCCUUUGUUUGCUCACCCAACUCCCUUUCUCUUAGGACACGAUGCAGUUGCUGGUCACUACCCUCUGGAAAGCCCCCUCGCCUAUCCAGGAGUCUGUACCUCCCCUUCACACUCCCUCAUGCUUUCUGCUUCUCACUUAGGUAACACCUACCAUAUUGGAUUUUCAUUGUUUAUUUUCAACUUGGCGCUGAACUCCUUGAAGGCUGAAUUUCUAGACCCUUUAAUAGGGUCUACGUGUUUAUGAGGUGAAUUACUGAAGACUCCACAUGUGCUUCUGAUAGAAAUUGAUAUACUUUAUUUCUUCCAUCAGGUAAAGAGAAAACAUAUCAACCAUCACAUCAAUCUCUGCUUGGAUGCCAGGCAGGUCGAGAUUAAAUCUAGUUAUUUAGCUAGAAUGCUUUUAUCACAGACUACUGCUCCAAUGAUCUCUCUUCUUUGACAAAACUAUUUGUAUGCUUAUUUAGAAUGCCCUGUUAUAUUAUUUUUAUAUUGAAAGUCCCUUAGGGGCGCCUGAGUGGCUCAUUCAGCUAAGCCUCCAACUCUUGAUUUUGGCUCAGGUCAUAAUCUUGGGGUUAUGAGAUCAAGGCCCUGGUCAAGCCUUGCGUUCAAGUGCAGAGUCUGCUUGAGAUUCUCUCUCUCCCUCUCCCUCUGCCCCUCCUCCAGCUUGCAUUAUCUCUCUCUCUAAAAUAAAUAAAUAAAUAAACAAACA
rnacentral:lncRNA from 12 species